AUUGAACGCUGGCGGCAGGCCUAACACAUGCAAGUCGAGCGGAUGAAGGGAGCUUGCUCCUGGAUUCAGCGGCGGACGGGUGAGUAAUGCCUAGGAAUCUGCCUGGUAGUGGGGGAUAACGUCCGGAAACGGGCGCUAAUACCGCAUACGUCCUGAGGGAGAAAGUGGGGGAUCUUCGGACCUCACGCUAUCAGAUGAGCCUAGGGCGGAUUAGCUAGUUGGUGGGGUAAAGGCCUACCAAGGCGACGAUCCGUAACCGGUCUGAGAGGAUGAUCAGUCACACUGGAACUGAGACACGGUCCAGACUCCUACGGGAGGCAGCAGUGGGGAAUAUUGGACAAUGGGCGAAAGCCUGAUCCAGCCAUGCCGCGUGUGUGAAGAAGGUCUUCGGAUUGUAAAGCACUUUUAGUUGGGAGGAAGGGCAGUAAGUUAAUACCUGGCUGUUUUGACGGUACCAACAGAAUAAGCACCGGCUAACUUCGUG
rnacentral:rRNA from 1 species